rnacentral:rRNA from 2 species
UAUAGUACCGAAGUUCCUGAUUCCACACUGCCAAGAAAAGCCUCUAGCGAGGCGGGAGGUGCCCGUACCGCAAACCGACACAGGGAGGCGAGGAGAGAAUCCUAAGGUGAUCGAGAGAACUCUCGUUAAGGAACUCGGCAAAAUGACCCCGUAACUUCGGGAGAAGGGGUGCUCUGGUAGGGUGUAUAGCCCGAGAGAGCCGCAGUGAAUAGGCCCAGGCGACUGUUUAGCAAAAACACAGGUCUCUGCGAAGCCGCAAGGCGAAGUAUAGGGGCUGACGCCUGCCCGGUGCUGGAAGGUUAAGAGGAGGGGUUAUCCUUUGGGAGAAGCUCUGAAUCGAAGCCCCAGUAAACGGCGGCCGUAACUAUAACGGUCCUAAGGUAGCGAAAUUCCUUGUCGGGUAAGUUCCGACCCGCACGAAAGGCGUAACGAUCUGGGCACUGUCUCAACGAGAGACUCGGUGAAAUUAUAGUACCUGUGAAGAUGCAGGUUACCCGCGACAGGACGGAAAGACCCCGUGGAGCUUUACUGUAGCCUGAUAUUGAAUUUUGGUACAGCUUGUACAGGAUAGGUAGGAGCCUGAGAAGCCGGAGCGCUAGCUUCGGUGGAGGCGUCGGUGGGAUACUACCCUGGCUGUAUUGAAAUUCUAACCCGCGGCCCUGAUCGGGCCGGGAGACAGUGUCAGGUGGGCAGUUUGACUGGGGCGGUCGCCUCCUAAAAUGUAACGGAGGCGCCCAAAGC